AUCUCAAGUCGGGCAGGUCCCCAGCCCCCACCACACAAACCCUAUCUUACAAAUCCCCGCAGCGCCGCCCUCCUCACUCCUCCAUCUUUCCUCGUCAGCCACCGCUGCACCAUUCCACUUCGCUCCUCUCUGUCCGAUGGUCGUGCUACUAGGAGGAAGCCGCCGCAGAAGAGGACAGGGGAAGCCCGUUGGCGAGCUUCCGGGCAGGAAGCCGACGGGGAGCACGCCAUCAACGAGCCCUCGGGGAGAAGCUAUUGGCCGAUCCUGAGUCGUCCACCAAAGACCGCCGGUUGCGCCGUCAUGAGAGGAGCAGCAUGGGAGGAGAUGAGGAUAUGUCGUCGGCGUCGGAAUCCCUCUUCCCUGGCUGCAUCUUCCCCGAAUAAAUGUUCUAGGGUUGGAGAAGAGGGGGUUGAGCAGCAACUGAGCUUAGUCACGUAGAUCUUGGGAGUAUGGUGCUUCGAUUUGGUUCCUGUGGUGGUAUCUUCUUCUGAUUAUGCAUAUGUAAAGUCAUGAUUACGUGUGGACCAGAUGUGCGCUCUUUUCCAUUGCAUACCAGAUUGUCGGCUAAAAGAGUUUUUUGUCUUCCAGCAAUGAGCUUUCAUUUUCAUUGUGGAGGUUUGUUCGGUUCAUCUCCUCUCAUCAUUUUUUUUCAGUUUAUCUCUUCAGAAGUUUGGGUGCCUCUGUUUUGCUACUUUUUAGUUCUCAUCAUUAAGGUCCAUGGACAUUGUCAGAAUUUUCACUUUAUUGGAGUGUCUUAUUUUCAGAUCUCAUGUUCCUCAAGGUGACGAGGCUUUGGAACCAUGGUUUUCUUAGGCUUUCUUUCACUGCUGCUCUAAACAGGGAACGUUGAUGACAACAUACAGGCUUUUUCCUGAUUGUCGCCAGUACAAAAAGAGCUUGCUGCCAUGUAUAGGAGAAUAGAAUACACGUUCUUGAAAUGAAGCAACUUAUUAAACUAAACCAUGGUGAUGUACUCCUUUGCCACUAAUUUAUUGAGAUCCUGCUAAAAAUAAGGGGAAGACAAACAUCAUCCCGCCACUUAAGUUAUCCCAUAUUUAAAUUAGGCCUCGGCCAAUGUUGGAGAAGACAGACUAUAGGGACGAGCCGCUAGAGCACGUGUUCAUGGUAUGUUCGCGCGCAAUAUGCUGAAGUUCGUUGGAAGGAAGAAGAGCUGGCCGGCGAGGAUGAGGACAAGGCGGGAUGUGAGGUGCUUGCACGCGCAGCAGCAGGAGGCCGUCCGUGAGGUGCUCCUCUGGAUGCUCCCUUCCGGCGUUGGGCCUAGGUGUUCAACGCUGCCCUCACCAUCCCCUUCUUCCAAUGGCUCAUCGGCCCGUUAGAGGUUAUUGAGGUGGAAGUCAAUGGUGUGAGGCGGAGAAGUGGACUGCUUAUAAAGAAACACAAGUAUGUAUGAAUAUGAUGGAUGCUUCCAUUGCCAACUGAUGAAAUGCAUGUCUCGUAUUUGCGCAACUGCUGCCUGGAUUCACCGCUGCCGCCUCCAGUCGCUUCCUCCUGGGCAUCCCGUCUCUAGCAAGAAGCACAACCCUCUUGAUCCAACUAGGAACAUCAAAAUCAAAUGGGAUAUCAUUGAGUGGACUUCAGAUGGCCAUGCUGAUAAUCUGACACCUAAUAAGGACCAAGAGAACAACAGAGAUGCUAAGAGGCAACCUUUUGGGUUUAAGGAUAUAAACAACAUGGCUUACGAGGAUUUGGACUGCUGUUCUUUUAGUUCCACUCUUAAAUCUUUUGGUUCUUGAAGGCCUGCACUUUCUUGGUGGAGUGGGAGCAAAAUAAUUCAGAGGCUUUAAAGCUGCUGCACUUUAGUAGUUAGGAUAAAUUCUUUGUUUUGGUUUGAAAUGCUCCCUGAUUCCUCCUAUUUGAUUGAUUCAUCUGAUGGCCAUUUGUCAGGCAAAUAAACAGAAGGCAUAUGUAUUGUUUUGAGUGAAGCCAUCCAUACAAGUCGAUAUAUUAAUUAUCCCAUAUGUAGCAUUCAAGAUAUAGAGAAAUGUUAUUGUUCUUCUGCUAAUUGGUUGCUUGACCAAAUGUACUAUAAAUGAUGUUAUUAUUGUACC